rnacentral:ncRNA from 1 species
UUAAUGGAGAGUUUGAUCCUGGCUCAGGACGAACGCUGGCGGCGUGCCUAAUACAUGCAAGUCGAGCGGACCCUUCGGGGUUAGCGGCGGACGGGUGAGUAACACGUAGGCAACCUGCCUGUAAGACUGGGAUAACUACCGGAAACGGUAGCUAAGACCGGAUAAGUGAUUCUCUCGCAUGAGAGAAUCAAGAAACACGGGGCAACCUGUGG